CCUACGGGAGGCAGCAGUGAGGAAUAUUGGUCAAUGGACGAGAGCCUGAACCAGCCAAGUAGCGUGCAGGAUGACUGCCCUACGGGUUGUAAACUGCUUUUACAUGGGAAUAAAGUUCAGCACGUAUACUGGUUUGUAUGUACCAUAAGAAUAAGGACCGGCUAAAUCCGUGCCAGCAGCCGCGGUAAUACGUAGGGGGCAAGCGUUAUCCGGAUUUACUGGGCGUAAAGGGAGCGUAGACGGCAGCGCAAGUCUGGAGUGAAAUCCCAGGGCUUAACCAGGGCACUGCAUGGGAACCUGGACGGCUUGAGUUCAGAAGAGGUAGGCGGAAGUCGUGGUGUAGCGGUGAAAUGCAUAGAUAUUAGGAGGAACCCCGAUUGCGAAGGCAGCCUGCCGGGGUGUGACUGACGUUGAGGCUCGAAGGUGUGGGGAUCAAACAGGAUUAGAGACCCUAGUAGUC
rnacentral:rRNA from 1 species